rnacentral:rRNA from 1 species
CCUACGGGCGGCAGCAGUGGGGAAUAUUGCGCAAUGGGCGAAAGCCUGACGCAGCGACGCCGCGUGAGGGAUGAAGGUCUUCGGAUCGUAAACCUCUGUCAGCAGGGAAGAACGGUCACUGUGCUAAUCAGCAGUGAAUUGACGGUACCUGCAAAGGAAGCACCGGCUAACUCCGUGCCAGCAGCCGCGGUAAUACGGAGGGUGCGAGCGUUAAUCGGAAUUACUGGGCGUAAAGCGCUCGUAGGCGGUAUGUCAAGUCAAGGGUGAAAUCCCCGCGCUCAACGUGGGAACUGCCUUUGAAACUGGCAAACUGGAGUGUGGGAGAGGAUAGUGGAAUUCCAGGUGUAGGAGUGAAAUGCGUAGAUAUCUGGAGGAACAUCAGUGGCGAAGGCGACUAUCUGGCACAUAACUGACGCUGAGGAGCGAAAGCGUGGGUAGGAAACAGGAUUAGAUACCCGGGUAGUC